ensembl:lncRNA
CCCCGCUGCCCCCGGCCGCCGCCCAGCCGCUGUCAGACGGCGCGGUGGUGCUGGAGCCGGGCGUCGGAGUGAGCUCCGAAGUGUGAGUUAGUCCGAAGGAGUGUUGUAUGUGCUUGUGUGCGUACGUACGGCAGGAGGGAGUUAGCGCACUACGGGCAUCGAUGGAUGUGUACGUGCAUAUAUAUGUAUAUAGUAUAGAAUAUACAAUACCUAAAAUACGUAUAACUGUAUAUAUUAACUGUUAUAUAUUAUGUCUGUUGCCCAUACAAUGCCAAAAUAUGGGAACACACAUAUAUAUAUAUACAUUUAUGUGUUUCUGCUAGGGCUGCUCCAGAAGUAAUGCCUCCUAUGUUAUGAUACUCGCCCAUUACAUCAAAGGAGGAUGUUGGGGGGAUGGCAGUAGAGGUUGAACCUUCCCACCAAUAUUCCAUUAUAUGUUGUUGCCGUGUGACAGAUGGCAGCAGAGGGGUGGUCUGACACAGCGGUGUCUGACAUGGAAGCGCGGAUGAAGCAAAGGUGUGGCACUGAAUUCCUCCACGUGCAAAAAAAUGACACUCAUUAACGUUCAUCAAUGCUUACUAAACAUUUAUAGACACCCAACAGUGGAUGUGAGCACAACGAGGCCUUUAGCAGUGGUGCCUUUAGCAGUGGUGUCAGUGACAGUGGGUCACCUCCACUGGUGCCAAUUUUUAUGAGCAUGGCAGGCAGGUUCUUUUUCAUUGCUGGUGAAAAUGCACAGCUAACAGUGGUGACUAUGUUGAAAAGUAGUGUUUUGUAGCUGAGAAUUUGCUCUAUCACACAGUGUUGUUGUGCUCUUUAUUGUAGUUUCCAUGAAAAUAAAUAAAAGGCACAACUUUUGCUGCAGCCUACAUACAUAUAUGCAUAUGUAUGUGUGCAUAAAUGUGUGUGUGUGUUGCUGAUACUGAACAUGUCACUGGCAAAAUGCUGCUCACGCUGAAGGCACCAGAAAUUGGUCUCGUCUUUCAGCAGGAGAGGGAUUCUCUCACAUCACACUGAGCAUCCCGUAUUUCCCGAAACAAUGAAUUUACACACAACACCAUCACUUGUGAGUAAUGUGGUAUUCCAAAGUUCAAGCUAAUAAAAUCUUUAUUGGCAGACACCACUGUGCAUGACUUUAUGGCAAAGUGUAUCUAUCUUCUUUGACCUCAAACGAACCAAAACCAGUGGCACAGGCACAGUGGCACCCAAGGAAGUGGUAGAGUCAUUGUUUCAGGAGGUACUUAAGAACUGUAUGGAUGUGGCACUGAGGGACAUGCUUAGUGGGUAUAGUGGGGGUGGGCUGACAGACUGGGUGAUCAGAGAGGUCUUUUCCAACCUUAAUGAUUCUAUGGUUCUGUCUAUGAGUUAAGCCUAAAGCUCUGACUCAAAAAGCUGAACGUCUGUGGCUGCCAUUUAUUUACGCCAGAGCCUAAAAGCAGGGCACUAAGCCUGGGGUUCUAAUGACUAUUUUCAAAGCAUGACACCAAUAAAAGAUUUUUCUUUAUUUUAUAUGCAAGUCAUUCAGAAGAACACAUUUAAAUUUCUAGCCUGCAUGCACGUCAUCUAGCCCUAUGGCUGCAUGGGAUAGUUGGACACAUCCUUCUAUUUGUUACAUUAUAUUCUUUGAAAUGAAGGAAACAACUGAACACUGGCACUUCGGAGGACAUUCUUUUUAUAGGGACAAGGAAAAAAAAAAUAAAAAUUAAAAAAAUACUUGUAGCAGGCUGCCCAGAGAAGCUGUGGUGCCCCAUCCCUGGAGGUGCUCAAGGCCAGGUUGGAUGGGGCCCUGGGCAGCCUAAGCUGGUGGGGGGCAGCCCUGCCCAUGGCAGGGGUUGGGGCUGGGUGGUUCCCUCCAACCCAAAUCAUUCUGUGAUUCUGUGAUUCUAUGCUUCUAUGCUUCUGUGAUUCUAUGAUUCUACAACACUCUUUCAUUCCUGAAUCUCCAGGUCCAGUCAGAAUACUGCCCAUGAGAAGAGAAGCCUAGCCUUCAGGUGGAGGAAGUAGGCAGUGUUCUCUCACAUGCAAAUCAUACUGUAAAUCGCAAAUUCCUGUGCAGCUGAAGCUCUGUAACCUUGCUGGUCCCAGAGAUGUUGGGGACUCUGCUCCUGGGGACGUCACCAUAUGGAGAAGAAUGUUCCCAAGGCACAGAGCAGCCCAUCAGAGAGGGAGGGGUCCCCCCAGCCAAGGAGAUGUGCAGGUGUGUCCCUGGCGCCACGGCGCCUCGUCAUGGCUCUGCCCCUGACAGCUCAAUGCAUCUGCUCCUGCCUCAGAACAAUUUGGUGCCGGGUCGCUCCGCACUGUUUCAUGGACAGCACAAACAGAAGCACGCCUGACUGCAGCUGAGCCACAAGGGCCCUUCCCACCAUACACCCACCGAUGCCUCAUUGCCCCCACUGCACCCUGCCAUCUGCACCCAUGUGUACUUUCAUCCCUUGUUCUCCUCUGCAUUGCCUUUUCUAUCAGAGACAGUGCUAACAGUGCUUCACGUGACAGAGUGCAUGCUGUUUUAUACAUCAAGAUAGUAACCCCCAUAAUUUACUUUAUUUACCUUUUAAUCCAUCUAUUGAUUGCUGCUGUCAGUUCCUGCUAGAGCAAGGAACAGCUCUGGUACUUGCAGUGUGCUCGUGGGACUCACCUCUACCACACGGGUUUGCAGUCAUUGGGUGUGCAUUGAACCAUUAUGAGUCAUGGCAAUUUGGUUUUCCGUUUGCUGGGGCUUCCUCACUGUGGUUAUGGUUUUGAGUUAUAUGGCUGCACAUAAAAUGUAAUUAAUAUUAAUCCUGCUUUAGCUAUGUGGUAGUAAAAAGUCUGUCUUUAUUGCAAUUGUCAAAACUGCUUUCAUAAUGAGAAAAAUAGACUGAUUUGACAGAAUGAGAAUUAUCACUGUAUCAGAAAUUAACUCUAUUUUUAGGGAUGAAGUCUGAAGUUUGAAUCAAAGAAUAGUUUGAGUUGGAAGGGACCCUUGAAGGCCAUCCAGUCCAAUUCCCCUGCAAUGAACAGGGAUACCUGCAGAUUGAUCAGGUUGCUUAGAGCCCCAUCCAGCCUGACCUUGGAUGUCUCCAGGGACACCAUCCACCACCUCCCUCACCACUCUUACUGUAAAAACCUUAUUCCUUAUGUCCAAUCUAAAUCUCUUUUAAUUGAAAACCAUUUCCCCAUGUCCUGUCACAGCAGACCCUGGUAGAGCCUGUCCCCUUUCUUCUUACAGCCCCCCUUUAGACACUGACAGGCAUAUCUGAGGUCUCCCUGGAGCCUUCUCUGCUCCAGGCUGAACAGUCCCAGCUCUCUCAGCUCUUUGUUCUUAUUUUCUGACCUGUCUUCAAUAUCAAGAAAACAUUUCCAGAAAAAACUUAUCUGACUGUUUCAAGAAGUGGAUCUCUGGGAGCUGUACCUUUGGUGCUCUCUACUGCACGGGGAGGGCAGUACUGCGUGGAAGAGAUAUACGUGUGACACGUAUAAGCAAGAUGCUCCGAGUUAUGGGAAAACAAACACCAAAGAGCCCUUUCCAGAGCUGCUUGGCAACUGUCUCCAUAAAUCAGUUCUACCAAGGUGCUGUGCCUUCCAGAGAUAGUCACUUUAAUGGCAGCAAUUUAGUUGUACGGGCCUGAACUUUGAGGUCAGAGGUGACUGCACGUUAUCCAGGACAAGCAGAAAGACACAGUCCAGUCUUGGAAUCAUAGAAAAUGUAUACAGAUGAUGCUGCUCGUGAAGAAACAAAAAUCUAUUAAAACACCUCCUGUGCAUCAGUAAAAGUGCUGGAAAGAAAUGUGAGUUUUGACUGUUGCUAAGAAGAGAUGUGGCUGUGUACAUUGCCCGGGUCCUCUCCAAGUGACAACUCACAGGCAGGGGAAAAGAGACAUCAUUUAGGAGUUGGACUAGAUGGCUUCCAGAGGUCCGUUGCAACCUCAACCAUUCCACAUUUCUGUGAUUAGAAGAGAUUUUAUCUAUCCACUUUGCUGUGGUUCUUACUCUGGUGGCUUUUGAGGAAGCAUUCUCUCCAGGUUUGUCCCACCUGGAACAUGUUGAAACAGCACGAGCAUAGAGAUGCAAGUUACCAAAAUCCCAAUGGUCAAAAAAAUGGCAGGUUCAGCUGCAGUUUAUGGAAACAGGCAUAAUUGUUAGGGUUCAGAGCUGGCACUGAGCAGAGGAGCUGGCUUCCAACUCAGGAGGUCACUCAAACUUUGGGUUUGGACUGUCCAGUUUUCUCUGAGAAAUCAUACCCAAACGCUUCUGUGUGGUGCCAGAAAAUAUGUAGGUCUCCUCACUGUAAAAAAUCAAACAAUUAUUACAGGAUCUGGAUAAUCUCCACAUGCACACAAUAGAAGAAGUUUAGGGAAAGUUUUGUUGAAAAGAGGAAAUUUUGUCUCAUUAAAUUUGGUGGCAAAAAAUUCCAAAUUCAAGCAUGAUUUCACCCUAUGUUACACUCUUGCCAUUGUGUAGAUUUUUGGUUAUAGAUAAGGAUCAGCCAGGGUUUAUAACUAAGUUUAUUUUGUAGUAAGUCUGUAGCAGCAAUUAAAGUUCCAAAACAGUUUUCACAUACUAGUAAUUUAAAGAAAAGUACAUCUCUGAAGAUGUAAUUUUCCAUUUUAAUCUCCAUCCAAAGAUAUUCUUUAACUUUGGGCAAAUUCCUGUCAAACAGUUUGAGUUAUAAUUGUAUGAAAAAAGAUACUCUGCCAGAUGUAAGAGAAAGAUGACUGCUGACAUUUUUAUUUCUUUUCUACAAGAUAAGCCAUGAGAUCUGACCUCUGAAGAACGGUGUAUAAGUAACCACUCAGGAACUUGUUCAUAAAUGGACUGGAAAAGUAAAGUGGAAAAAAAGCUUAAAUUAUUAAGCCUGAAUGUUGGGUAAUAAGAGUGAACAGUAGAAAUAUGGCAAUUAGAUAUUUAAAUUAUUUUUGAUUCUCAGCCUUCUGCCUGAACCAUACCUGAGACAGUAAAGCUAGUACAUAUGGAGCAGAUAUCAGAGCAUGGGUUAUUUCAACAUCCAGUGCAAUAAUUAUGGCUAUAUUCAGUAUCACAAAUCUCGAAAUUGCAUCAAGCAACUUAAAAAAUAAAUUAAUUAUACUAUCACAAGGCAAACUUGGAAGAAAGUAAUUAUUCUUAACAUAGAAUAGUUCUGAGUAAAGAAUUAAUUUAUUGAUUUAGUAGUGUAGAAUUUGAUUACUUAACGUAUAAAUUCUCCCAGGAAUAGAGUCCUGGGGCAUCCUGAGAGGAGUGACUGAAUAACUGGAGACCUUAACGUGUAGAGGUCUUUGUAGGGUGCUCAGUGUAUCGAGUAAAAGAAAUCAUUAAUCCAAGCUACCAUCUAGCUGUGUUUGCCAUCUUGACUACUCAUCACAAAAAUUUGUCAGACUUAUUCAGAACAAAAAAUACAGAUGUAAUUCCCCACAAGUCCCCAGAGGUGUUUUUCAUUAUGGUUAGUUAUAUAUGGAAGAAACAUCAACAUUUCCUUGAUGCCUGACAGCACAAAAUCCUCAAAUAAAUAGCUACAAUAUUGGGUCUCAUAGUGAAAUUUUUAUAAUGUGCCAUACAAUUUUUAAUAUCUACAACAUAUGCAAAGUAGGAUCAAUUUUCUUACACUAGCACAGCAAAUGCGCCUCUAAGAUCCAGUUAAUGGUAUUAAGGUGCACUGAUAUAUUAUUUUAUUUUCUGACUUUAUCUAUAUUAAAAACAAAAUAAACUGAGAUUUUUAUUCCUCCUUACACCUGUAGAAGUAAUUCUUUAUGUGGUCUGAAUGAAGAUAUGAUAAUGGAUCAUCUUAGUAGCAAUGUAUCACUAUGAAUAUGCAUUUGUUUUUCACGAGAAGGAUAUUUUAGGAUCGGGGGGAUAGCACUAGUUCUUAAAAGUAGACUAAAAUUAAAGCUUCUGAGUCCCAGGUGGAGGCAUUAAGAAACUAAAAUACCUGAGUUGAGGAAACCCCCAGCUUUGUGAUCAUGGUUAGACCUUCCAUCUGUAACACUAGAUAUAGAAGGAAAAAUACAACAAUCUGUAUUGCUGUGGCUCCUGGAAAAGCUGAAAGUGUGGGUACCAGUUAUUUACUGGACAGCAUGAAACCACAAAAUAAAUUUAACAGUUUGGAGCCCUGAUCCUUCUCAUUUAUGUUUCUGUUUUGCACUGUCCUUAGAAAAAGCACAAGUCUAAAAAAAGCCAAGGAUAUAAUACCCUGAUUUCCACCAUCUACUUAGCCUUUGAUAGAAGUUUUCUUAUUGAUUUCAAUAACUUGAGCUGCAUAGAAUCAAUCUUGAUAUGCUUUGCUUUAUUGAGACUACUCCCAACCUUGAAGUUAAGCAUUAAGGCUCAGAUUCUCGUGGGUAUCUACAUGUUUAAUUAUUUUCCCACAUCAGAACUAGCAGAUAAAGAUGUGUUCCAAAUUCUUGGCCAUAAGGGCAUGACAGUUCCUAGACACUUGUUUCUGAACCAGGCAGCCUGCCAGGUGGAAGGCUUAUUUGCCUCAAAACUUCAAGAAUCCAGUGUGUCAGGCUGGCACAAUGAACCAGUCACUAAAUUCAGAUCACGUAAUACAUACAAGCAUGGUGUUUUCCUUUUGGUGAUGAAAACUACUGGAAUGUAAUACAACAUUUGAAAAAACAUCUCUGCUAGUGUGCUACAUUCUCUCUUUACACCAGCAGUGAGAUUCCACACUAAAAGUGAACUAAUUAUCUAAAAAAAAGAAAAAAGCAGCCAUCCUCAUGAAGAAUCUGACUUAAGAGAGUGAUGAGAAAUACUCUUUUUCAUGUGCGAUCUGAAAGCCACUUCUCUUUGCACAGUUUACUUUUGGCCUUCAGUCCUAGCAGAGGAUUUAAAUGAGUCGCCUUCCCUUUUUGGCUCUUUAAAUACGUUGCUUAAUUCCAUCAACAGAGGUCACUGCCGCUCUUUUCCUCUUUGGUGAAAGCAAGCUUUUUCCAGAGAUAAAACAGAACAACUAAUGCUCUCUACUAGCAGAGUUUGGUUUACCCUUUAG